rnacentral:rRNA from 1 species
UGGGGAAUAUUGGACAAUGGGCGCAAGCCUGAUCCAGCCAUGCCGCGUGAGUGAUGAAGGCCAUAGGGUUGUAAAGCUCUUUCACCGGUGAAGAUAAUGACGGUAACCGGAGAAGAAGCCCCGGCUAACUUCGUGCCAGCAGCCGCGGUAAUACGAAGGGGGCUAGCGUUGUUCGGAUUUACUGGGCGUAAAGCGCACGUAGGCGGAGUUUUAAGUCAGGGGUGAAAUCCCGGGGCUCAACCCCGGAACUGCCUUUGAUACUGGAAGUCUUGAGUAUGGUAGAGGUGUGUGGAAUUCCGAGUGUAGAGGUGAAAUUCGUAGAUAUUCGAGGGAACACCAGUGGCGAAGGCGGCUCACUGGACCAUUACUGACGCUGAGGUGCGAAAGCGUGGGGAGCAAACAGG